AGGAAUGAUGAAUGAAUUUCAAACAAUGGGGAACAUGAUUAAUAUUAUUUACUAAACUCACAUAUGCAGAUGUGGCUUGAUUGGGUAUUAAAAGAUGAAGGGUAUACCUAAAGUAAGCAUUCCAUAGGCUUUUGUUGGUUGAAUGAAUAAAGGAGCUCAUCCACUGUCAUGAUUUUCUAUCCCCAGCUUUGCACACUCUUCAGUGAUAAAACCAGGACCAUAUAACCACCUGGAGAGCACAUGUCUAGAAUCAUGAUGUACCAACAGUUACAAAUCAAGUCCAUGGCACACUUACACCAGGAAGAUGGUGCAGCAAUUUAAAGGAAUAAGGUGCCUGUCAAUAUUCUCAGGGAAGCUGAAGAGGGCUACGUCCAUGAUGCUGUGCCCAUGAUGCCAUGCUGUGCCCCUGAUGCUGUGCCUGUGAUGCUGUGCCUGUGACACUGUGUUGCGCCCAUGAUGCUGUGCCCAUGAUGCCGUGUUGUGCCCAUGAUGCUGUGCUCAUGAUGCCACGCUGCGCCUGUGAUGCUGUGCCCAUGAUGCUGUGUUGCGUCCAUGAUGCUGUGCCUGUGAUGCUGUGCCCAUGAUGCCAUGCUGCGCCCAUGAUGCCAUGCUGUGCCCUCUAUACCUUGCCGUGCCUGAGAGGCCAUGCCCUUUCCCUGAGAUUCUGCAGUUCUGGCUGCUCCAGGAGCCAAGGAGCUUCCACCCCAUAUAAAAUGCUCCUGGGGUGGCCUACUGACCUGGAUUCUCGUCUCCGUAUCCUGACUCCAACUGCCUCUGCUGCCAAACUACACAUGGCCCAGAUGAUUUCUCCCGCAAAUGGAAGAGGGAAUCAGAGCAUCUCACAGUCAGGGCAGAGGCCCCGGGGGAGACGCCCACCCGAGGCAUGUUUGGGAUGACUGAUCCCGUCCAAGCCCAUGGUUGCGCAGACUGGAAAUCUGACUCUCAGAGUGGAGAAGAGAUUUGUCCGAAUGUGAGUUCAGUGCCAGAGUGAGACUCCAACUUGAUUCCAAGUUUAGAGCUCACUUUAGGAGGGAGUUCCCAAAAGUUCCUUCAUCUUAGCUACCCCUUUAUGUUGAGAUCCUGGGUCUCCAAAAUGUCCCGAUUACAACGCAUAUCUAUUACUUAAAUAACACCCAGCAACGUAGUUUAGCGCCCAGUAACAUAGUUUAUCAGAGGAGCUGGUUUUUAGUAUAGAAAGCAGAUAGCAAGUUACACUUUAUUUUAUUUAUUACAAAAACAGAAUUUUAGGGCCUGGCUCCUUGGCCAAGUGGUUAAAGUUCUGCGCACUCCGCAUCGGUGGCCCAGGUUCGCUGGUUGGGAUCCCGGGUGUGAAACCUACUCCACUCAUUAGCCAGGUUUGGAGGUGUCCCACAUACAAAAUAGAGGAAGAUUGGCACAGAUGUUAGCUCAGGGCUGGUCUUCCUCAAGCAAAAAAAGAGAGGAGGAUUGGCAAUGGAGGAUAGCUCAGGGCAAAACUUCCUCAGCAAAAAAAAAAAAUUGUAACAACUCCGAUGAAAAUAUUAAAACAAAUUAUUUCUGCCAUCCUAAUUGUGUUUCUUUUGUUCACAUUUCUUAUGUCGCUCUAACAUACAUACUUUACAUGUACAUUUGUGCAUAAGCUAUAAUCAUUUUGUAAACAUUUUUAUAACCUUGUUUCAUUUAAUAUCAUACAUGUUUCCCUGGACAUUUUCCAUGUAGCCUUCUACUUUCUGCAGAGUAUUUCAUCAAGAAAGUAAACCAUUAUUUACAUAACUACAUCUUCAUUGUUCUUAAAUUAUAAAAUGUUUCAAACAUACAGAAAAGCUCAGGGAAAAAUACACUACACAGAUUUAACAAAUCCUG
rnacentral:lncRNA from 1 species